UUACUCAUCAGAUGCAUUCUUCUGAAGUGUUCUUUAGGAGCUACGUGACAGAAGUUUUUGGAGAGUCUGUAAUUCUGCCCCUGCCUGCUGGAGCCGUUGGAUUAUUUCUGGUGACUGUAAGGAGUUUUGUUUCCUCCCUAGGAUUUCGCCUCAUCUGGUUUGUUUUCCGUCUGGAGGUUUUGGCAAUAAACAGUACCAAAUCGAGUGCAUUACCUGUGUGUGUUUCCUACACCUGCACGUCCUGGCUCUGCGUCCCCAUUCAUACGCUGUUGUAUAUACUUUGUCCUUGUUAAUACCUCCCCAUCGCUGUAAAUAAACUGUCUUCACAGCAACUCUGCCUCCGUGCGUUCUGCUCCCUGGGUCCAUCUGCAUUUGCCAUAACAAUGGAACCCUUGAAAAAAAACUGAAAGGGAACGGGGGCAAUAUUGGAUCACCUGUAGAGAUCACUCAUUUGAAAGGAAACAACUCGCACUCAUAUGACUUUGCACUUCACACAUCAGCAUUUACUGUGGUUAAGCCUGGAAGUGGGAUCCAUGAGAUUAAACCGCGAGGUUACAGAACCAUUGGCCAAGACCAAGAGGUCCUGGACUCCGAUGACAUUCCACAUAUUGUCAUCUGCUGUAUGGCUAAAGGUGUUCCCAGACAUCCUCCCUUCAGUGAUCCUGCUAAAUUACGAACACGGCACCGUAACAGACAUUCUGAUGCCAGAGGAGUAACGUCCUUUAUUAUUUUCCCAGCAUUUCUAUUUAUUUAGUUAUUUAUCUAAUGUAUUUUUUAAAAUCUUUUGUUUAUCUUUAAGUAAUUAGUUAAAGAUGAAAAUUAAAUAGGUUGAA